rnacentral:rRNA from 1 species
ACGAAGGGUGCAAGCGUUACUCGGAAUUACUGGGCGUAAAGCGUGCGUAGGUGGUUUGUUAAGUCUGUUGUGAAAGCCCCGGGCUCAACCUGGGAAUGGCAAUGGAUACUGGCAAGCUAGAGUGCGGUAGAGGGUAGUGGAAUUCCCGGUGUAGCGGUGAAAUGCGUAGAGAUCGGGAGGAACACCGAUAGCGAAGGCAUUGUACUGGCCAACAACUGACGCUGAGGCACGAAAGCAUGGGGAGCGAACAGGA